rnacentral:rRNA from 1 species
AUUGAACGCUGGCGGCAGGCCUAACACAUGCAAGUCGAGCGGAUGAGGGAGCUUGCUCCUGGAUUCAGCGGCGGACGGGUGAGUAAUGCCCAGGAAUCUGCCUGGUAGUGGGGGAUAACGUCCGGAAACGGGCGCUAAUACCGCAUACGUCCUGAGGGAGAAAGUGGGGGAUCUUCGGACCUCACGCUAUCAGAUGAGCCUAGGUCGGAUUAGCUAGUUGGUGGGGUAAAGGCCUACCAAGGCGACGAUCCGUAACUGGUCUGAGAGGAUGAUCAGUCACACUGGAACUGAGACACGGUCCAGACUCCUACGGGAGGCAGCAGUGGGGAAUAUUGGACAAUGGGCGAAAGCCUGAUCCAGCCAUGCCGCGUGUGUGAAGAAGGUCUUCGGAUUGUAAAGCACUUUAAGUUGGGAGGAAGGGCAGUAAGUUAAUACCUUGCUGUUUUGACGUUACCAACAGAAUAAGCACCGGCUAACUUCGUG